AGCGCGCAGCGACGUCGUUCGACGUAGCGCGAGGGUCGCCCUUGCGGCCGCGCGACGCUUGCUAUUUUCGGCCUUACAUUCCUCGCGGCUGUUUUUCAAUCUAACGUGAAACGCAUAACGCGCGUGCCGUCUGCGCUUUGUUGCCGUAUAAAUUUACAUAGUAACUUGUUAAACUAAACCGGAGAAAGCUUAUACCCUUGAAGUAUGCACUACCAUGUAUGUAGUGAAUGAUAGAUAAAUACGUUCGCGAUGAUGCGUUUCAGUGCCAAUGAAUGUAGCCGAUGUGUCACCAGUGUGUGGAACCCACGCCGGACUAGUGUUUGAUUGUAUUACUCAGUGAAGUGCCAAUAUUCAGACCGUUGCGAUGGGGCCCACGCGGUUACCACCGACACCUGAGGAAGAGGAACCUCCUCGGCAGCUAUCAGUUGAACCUAAAACACCCGAUACUGUUAAAUAUGAAAUUCGCGGCGCUGGUAUCCUGCGCGUGACGUCGUGCUGCGUGCAGCGUCGCGCGCGUCACAAGACGCCGCUCGGUCGCUCACAAUAACAUUGAUAAUUUCAAUGAUAUUGUAUCCAUACUACAACGUCCACCACGCGCCUUACAAGUUUAAUCUUAUUUCAAUCUUUCCUCUCAAAUAUACUUUUUUUAUAGAAAUUUCUUGAAUUAAAUAUUAAUUGAAGAUUAAUAUAUAUUUGAUUGUAUUAUUAGACUACUAAAAAUGUGUACAUAUUUAAGCUAUUUUUAUUCUUUGUUUAUUUUUGACAAGAAAAAGGAUUUAAUACAAGAAUCUUUAUUAUUAUACUUAUAUCAUGAUAUAUUUUCGUGUAAUUAUAUUUUGUAAUCAAGUACAGGAGUUAAAUCUAUUUUUUUUUAAAUAUUAAAUGUGCCAUAUGCAAUUCCUGCUUUAAAUUACAAAACUGUGUUUAUAUUAACUAAAGAGCGAAAAGCAAAAAGAAACAAAUAGUUGUUAAUGUGAAUAAAUGACUAAUUUCUUUAGAAA